rnacentral:rRNA from 1 species
GAUGAACGCUGGCGGCGUGCCUAAUACAUGCAAGUCGAGCGGACGGACGAGAAGCUUGCUUCUCUGAUGUUAGCGGCGGACGGGUGAGUAACACGUGGAUAACCUACCUAUAAGACUUGGAUAACUUCGGGAAACCGGAGCUAAUACCGGAUAAUAUUUUGAACCGCAUGGUUCAAAAGUGAAAGACGGUCUUGCUGUCACUUAUAGAUGUAUCCGCGCUGCAUUAGCUAGUUGGUAAGGUAACGGCUUACCAAGGCAACGAUGCAUAGCCGACCUGAGAGGGUGAUCGGCCACACUGGAACUGAGACACGGUCCAGACUCCUACGGGAGGCAGCAGUAGGGAAGCUGCAGCAAUGGGCGAAAGCCUGAAGGAGCAACGCCGCGUGAGUGAUGAAGGUCUUCGGAUCGUAAAACUCUGUUAUUAGGGAAGAACAUAUGUGUAAGUAACAGUGCACAUCUUGACGGUAGCUAAUCAGAAAGCCACGGCUAACUACGUG